GAUGAAGAACGCAGCGGAAUGCGAUAAGUAGUGUGAAUUGCAGAAUUCAGUGAAUCAUCGAAUCUUUGAACGCACAUUGCGCCCCUUGGUAUUCCAUGGGGCAUGCCUGUUCGAGCGUCAUUUGUACCUUCAAGCUUUGCUUGGUGUUGGGUGUUUGUCUCGCCUCCGCGUGUAGACUCGCCUCAAAACAAUUGGCAGCCGGCGUAUUGAUUUCGGAGCGCAGUACAUCUCGCGCUUUGCACUCACAACGACGACGUCCAAAAGUACAUUUUUACACUCUUGACCUCGGAUCAGGUAGGGAUACCCGCUGAACUUAAGCAUAUCAAUAAGCGGAGGA
rnacentral:misc_RNA from 1 species